GACGAGCGCUGGCGGCGUGCUUAACACAUGCAAGUCGAACGGAAAGGCCCUGCGUUUGUGGGGUGCUCGAUUGGCGAACGGGUGAGUAACACGUGAGUAACCUGCCCUUGACUUUGGGAUAACUUCAGGAAACUGGGGCUAAUACCGGAUAGGAGCUCCUGCUGCAUGGUGGUGGUUGGAAAGUUUCGGCGGUUGGGGAUGGACUCGCGGCUUAUCAGCUUGUUGGUGGGGUAGUGGCGUACCAAGGCUUUGACGGGUAGCCGGCCUGAGAGGGUGACCGGCCACAUUGGGACUGAGAUACGGCCCAGACUCCUACGGGAGGCAGCAGUGGGGAAUAUUGCACAAUGGGCGGAAGCCUGAUGCAGCAACGCCGCGUGCGGGAUGACGGCCUUCGGGUUGUAAACCGCUUUCGCCUGUGACGAAGCGUGAGUGACGGUAAUGGGUAAAGAAGCACCGGCUAACUACGUG
rnacentral:rRNA from 1 species